AUUCAAUUAGCGCUCGGGCUCGAAGGUCGAGGGUUCGAGACCUGCUCCCUGCUGUUUCAUUACAUUACUUUGAAAUGCCAUGUAUCAUUUAAGAGCUACUGCAAGCUCUUUAGUUUAUAUGCUGGAAUAAUUUUCACGGACCAAGCUCCUGUAACGACACAGUUAAAUGUAACUUUGUAACGAGUGCACUGUGUGUUUUGGGAAACUGGUGUGACAUCUUCGGACAUUAUUUUUACGAUGCAUUGUUGAAACACUCGUAAACCUAAAGUACUGACGGAUUUUGUCCAACAAGGCGCCACACCAGGGGUGCGUUUCCCCAAAACAUUAUUCUGCCAAACUAACCCUGAUUCAGAUGACCAUCCUACCCAUGCUUGAUUGCGGAGACGUAAUUUAUGGAUCGGCAGGCCACUGCAUGCUGUGACAUGGGCCUGGAUGGUCACACAUCUUCUUCAAGCUGCCUGACUGAAUACUGUAGCCUUCAGUGGUACCGGAAGCCAGGGCCGUAUCUGGGAGUACAGCAAAAGUCUCAAAUUCAUACAAAUGGCUACAGUCACUGACUUGUAUUCACUUGUCCCAUUCUAAAGUCUUGUCUGGGAUAUACAGUUGAAGUCGGAAGUUUACAUACACCUUACCCAAAUACAUUUAAACUCAGUUUUUCACAAUUCCUGACAUUUUAAUCUGAGUAAAAAUUCCCAGUUUUAGGUCAGUUUGGAUCACAACUUUUAUUUUAAGAAUGUGAAAUGUCAGAAUAAUAGUAGAUAAUGAUUUAUUGCUUGUGCCUCUAGUUCUGACAAUGCAGUAAUAACCAACGAGUAACCUAACAGUCCCACAACAACUACCUUAUACACACAAGUGUAAAGGGAUAAAGAAUAUGUACAUAUAAAUAUAUGAAUGAGGGAUGGUACAGAACGGCAUAGGCAAGAUGCAGUAGAUGGUAUCGAGUACAGUAUAUACAUAUGAGAUGAGUAAUGUAGGGUAUGUAGACAUAAAAGUGGCAUUGUUUAAAGUGGCUAGUGAUACAUUUUUACAUAAAUUUUCCAUUAUUAAAGUGGCUGGAGUUUAGUCGGUAUUUUGGCAGCAGCCAAUCAAUGUUAGUGGCC
ensembl:lncRNA